rnacentral:misc_RNA from 1 species
AUCCUUUCAGCCGCCGCUCUGCUCCUGCUUCAAAAAAAAAUCUCGCCGCCAAUCCCUUCUCCUCCUUAUCUCUCUCUCGCGCGUCUUCCUCCCUGCGCCCAGCCGAGCCCCUUCAUCGCGCCCAGCUCGCCCAUGGUGGCGCGCGCGCACUCCCUGUGCUCGCCCAUGGCGGAUCCCUCCGCUCGGCCGCCCACCUCCCCAAGCUCGUCGCGAGUCCCCAGCCCCUCUCUGCUCGGCCAUGGCCGCUGUGCCGAGCUCCUCCUCCUGCUCGCCAGAAUGGCGCUUCUCUGCUCAGACCGCGCCCUGGCGUGGAGCUUCCUCCCUGCUGCAGCUCAGCCUCCAGGUUGCCUCCUCGCCGCGCGCUUCUUCCUUAUUCCCUGCGCCCCUGCUUCCUGGUAGCCGCGCCCUGCUCUUGGCGGCGCUCACCCUCUGCUCACUCUCCUGGCCGCCAUCUCCAUGGUCGCGCGCCCAGCUCCCUCCUACCCUGCUCGUCUAUGGCGACUUCCCCCUGCUGGCAGCCGUUCGGCCCAGCUCCAUCCCUGCCCAUCUCCCAGCCCGGAUCUCGUUCCUGCUCGGCGUUCGUCUCCUUGCUCGCUGGCGACCUUCCCUCUGUCCUCCAGUGUCGCGCCGGCUUGGAGUUUUCAUGGCCGCCGCCCUGCCCUAUCUUCCAUGGUUGUGCGUUUGCUCUGCUCGGAAUCACUCCCAUGGCGAGCUCGCCCGGCGUUCAUCCCCUGCGUCUCCUCGCCGUGGAUCUUCCUUCCCCAGCUUCUUCCUCCCUGCGGCUGUUUGCCCUCGCCUGUGCCGCGCCCCUGCGCUCGUCGCGGCGCUCCAGCUCGCCCCUGCCCAAGUGAAUCGCCCGGGUCCGGCUUGGACACCAUGUCGUGUCCCCUGCGUCACGCGUCGUGUGUAGAGCAAUGAAACAAAAAUUCGUGCGCGUCGAGCUCCCGCGUCGAAUCCAGCCCCAUGUUGACGCGUCCCUGUUCCAGCUUGUCGUGCCAUGUUCCAGCUUGUCGUGCCGCGUCGUCAUCGCUUCCUGUCGCGAGCUCGAUUUCUGUUGUCAUCGGACUUCACGCAUGCUCGCGUUUGUCGUCGAGCUGUUGAACCCGUCCUCCCUUGCUCGUGACUUCGUCGUCAAGUCUCGCUGUCCAUGGCGGAGUUCCCUGCUGUCAGCCUCCGCACCCAUUCUAGGCCGUCGUAAAACUCUAGUGCUUGUCGCUGAUAUCCGAUCGUCUCCAACCUUUGUUUUGCUGUCGUCGUUCGAUCACCCCGUCUUGAUGUCGGUCUCUACGUGAUGUCUCUGAAUUGUGAUCGUGCGGACAAAAGAAUUCCCAAGAGAAGAUGUCCAAAGAUUGGAUGGUGGUGUGCGUGAAGUUCGUGUGGCACCUGCCAAGCGCUCGGCAAAUUAUUGGAAUCGGAAAAUCACUACCGAUCUCACGGAUUCGAGUCAGCCGUUGAAACGGUACGUGAAUUAACCACGUGAUGCGGAGAACCAGAACUGAGUCGACCACAAGAUGGUGCUAAUGAACGGAACUGAAGGUGGACAGACGAAACAAGUAUCAGAACAAAAGAUGGUCGUCAAGUGGACGUCGUCUAACAACACUAACCUAGUGUUAUUCAGGCAAGCCCCGGUGCAUGCAACCCCUUCCUUGUGUUUUUAAGUAAUUUUUACACACUUUAAGUCUAGCAAAAUGUGCAUUAGGUUUAUAGGAGUUGCUUGAAAACUCUUUGAUGCAUUGCCUACCUUGAUAUCCAUACCUUUAUAGAUA